rnacentral:rRNA from 1 species
UACGGGGGGAGCAAGCGUUGUUCGGAUUUACUGGGCGUAAAGGGCGCGUAGGCGGUCGUGACAAGUCACUUGUGAAAUCUCCGGGCUUAACUCGGAACGGUCAAGUGAUACUGUCGGACUAGAGUACAGAAGGGGCAACUGGAAUUUACGGUGUAGCAGUGAAAUGCGUAGAUAUCGUAAGGAAGACCAGUGGCGAAGGCGAGUCUCUGGACAGUUACUGACGGCUGAGGCGCGACAGCGUGGGGAGCAAACAGG